CCUAGCUGCUUGUAUAAAAAUUUCGUUGGAAUUGAAUCUUAUUUAAUAAACAUCGCAACAUGAUGUUAAUAUAGUCUCACUAUAGAGUCGUGCGCAAACCGUUGGGAGUCUAAUUGUAUUCCAUAAUAAAAUUCGAGAAUCAGUGAUCGUUUGUAUAAUCUGAUUAAGAAACCAUCAUGAUAAGAGAGAUUCCGAACAUAGAUUAUAUAUUAUCGUUAUUAACUUCGAAUCGACGGAAAUUUAAUUAGGCCAUUGUGCUUUAGAAAUUCUCGCCAAUCAGAAACGGCGUUAUCUCGAACGAGAUUAGACACGUCUUCUGAGUAAUGGUAUUUUCUCGAUAAUCUUCCAGGUCCAAUCAGUUGAGAGAGCAAAGGUGACAGAGCAGGAGCAGCUUCGAUAGCUUUGAGGAACUAGCAAG